rnacentral:rRNA from 1 species
GACGAACGCUGGCGGCGUGCUUAACACAUGCAAGUCGAACGGAAAGGCCCUGCUUUUGUGGGGUGCUCGAGUGGCGAACGGGUGAGUAACACGUGAGUAACCUGCCCUUGACUUUGGGAUAACUUCAGGAAACUGGGGCUAAUACCGGAUAGGAGCUCCUGCUGCAUGGUGGGGGUUGGAAAGUUUCGGCGGUUGGGGAUGGACUCGCGGCUUAUCAGCUUGUUGGUGGGGUAGUGGCUUACCAAGGCUUUGACGGGUAGCCGGCCUGAGAGGGUGACCGGCCACAUUGGGCCGGGGAUCCGGCCCAGACUCCUCCGGGAGGCAGGAGUGGGGAUUAUCGCAUAAUGGGCGGAAGCCUGAUGCAGCAACGCCGCGUGCGGGAGGACGGCCUUCGGGUUGUAAACCGCUUUCGCCUGUGACGAAGCGUGAGGGCCGGGAAUGGGUAAAGAAGCACCGGCUAACUACGU